GGGAAGGAGGAACUGAGUAUGAAAACGAAUGCUUCAUGCUGUCUUCUGAACAUGACAUGGACUCGGUGGACCUGCAUCAGAUCAGUGCAGUCGAAAUUCUGUUGCGGAUGGAGGAGAAAGCCUGAGGCUCCAACCCUAGCUGAGGUCUGGCUUCUGUGUAUGCACAAUGAGUUCAUCCAAGCAAAGCUCUCAUCCGACUAUUUCCAUAACCAAGAAGGUGUCCCAUGACGUAAAAGGCAUCCAUUUUUGAGCGGAGGCACCGGUAAACGCAAACACAGCUCAUGAUCUCACACAUCUUUGGCUCUUCUAAAUUGGAGGCAGUUUCUGCAGAGUAGCUUGGAAUCGUGGCUCCUCUACCAACUAGAGGAAUGGACUUCUCUGAGUUUCUCCGUGUCGGGAGUGUGCUAGGCGUUCGUUCCAUUGCUCUGGAGACUGCUAGAGUCAAGGAAUUCUGCCCGAGGCACAUCAGCAGCUAGUAAAUAGCCGAGGGUUUUUAAAAGCUAAUUUUUAUUGUUAUUAUGACAAAAGAAGUGAAGGAUGAACUGCAAGGAGCCCGAAACUGCAAACUGGAAGCCUGCACGGUGGUUUUUAAAACGUUUCAAAUUGAUUCGAAACAUUGAAAAGUUGUGAAAUUUCAACGCUGUCUGGUGUCUUUUGGGGGAAAAAAACAUUAACAACGGGAGAGGCUGUGUUUUAUAAGCUGUUGGGCUGUCUCUCUCUCUCUCUCUCUCUCUCUCUCAUUGUAAUGUUGUGUGCCUCUUUCAAAGUGGUGUUAAUUGUUGUAGAAUUAAAAAAAAACACUCUUGGGCAAUUUGUCUGUUGCAAGGUUCUGAAAGGCAAGUUUAUUUUGAAACAUGGCUUUUUUUUUUUUUAAUUUAGU